GUGGAGGUUAUUGGUAUCACGAGUGCGUAAUACUUGUAUGGUUAUAAAUGAAUAGUAAAUGAAAAACGGGAAAAGUAAAUCGGAGAUUCGUGUGCGAUGUGAAAGUUGAUAUGACUCUGGGGGGUCUUCUUCUAAGGGUGUCUGUGAGUUUGCAUUUAUGUACGUAUUAAAGCGGAAGGAACCAUUGUAUAAUCCAAGAUGGCCUCCGAGUCAGAGAGGAUUAUUAUUGGCUAAUACGAGGCGAGAGGCUCCGCCUUGGCUCAUGGUUCGUGACGGGAUGAUUUAUUGGAUUUUCUGUCUGUUCGCCCCUGCAAUACAUACCAUACCGUGCCUACUUCUCUCUCUAGGUAGGCAUGUAUAUCCGGGACUCUACUUGCUUUUUCAACUUCUGAUUGACCUGAACAGCUGUUGCGUCUUUUCUUGCCAUUUCAACUCUACAGGGUACAUCAUCACGCUGCACUUUCAAAUUGUUGACGUCCACUACUGGAUUCUCUUGUCCUUUCUUUCUCGUUUCUUUCUUGCACUUAUAUAGCCUUUUUAUUUAUCCGUUACUUAUAUAUAGCCUCAUGGUAAUGAUAUUAUAUGAUGAUAUGUCUGCUACACUUGGAUCGAAAAAUUAUUCUUAACCAACUCGCUCAAGAAAUCUUUUUCUAAAACUUCUACUCUGGAUCAUAUUUAUUCAUCAUAAAAUCAAGAGAUAACUUUCCGCUGAAUGAGAAAGAGUUUAAUAGAUACUGUCCAUUCUCUACGCUCACUGAAAAGGUGGAUUUGAAAUUUUUCGAAGCAGAUGGGUCACUUGGACGUAACAGUGAAACAAAUUGGGUAAAGUGCCCGAAGGUCGAAAUGAGAUUGCACACAACAUGCGAAGCGGAAUAGAAGGAAAUAGUGCGGUGACGAGGAAGUACAAGAAGGAAAAAGUAUACGCCAGAGAAUUUAUGGCCGCUUUAUCACUUUGCUGGCCUUGCCACACGCGUUUACCGUACGAGAGAAGAGCGCUGGGAUCUUCACCGAUGAACUUUGGCACUCGACUUUACAGACACUUGUCUCAGCAAAGAGAUUAACCAUAAGGUUGAGUUACGCAAAGUUGAAAAGUAAAAUUCCAUUGACUAUUCCAUUAACGUCGCCUCUAAUACUCUCAGGGUUAUGUAUUACCUAGAAACGAUGGACGAGGGCUAAAUGCAAAAGCUUGUAAGGGUAACACGUUCGCGACCUCUGAGAGGGUAGCAAAACAUUCGUACAAUUAGCUCGAUGUCCUGAUGACACUUGGUGAACUGGACUACCCUUUCUUUAGUAGGGUGGGUGUCGCGACGACCAUUCUCGCACUAUACACACAUAU